GACGAACGCGGCGGCGUGCCUCAUACAUGCAAGUAGACGCCGAGAGAGGAGCUUGCUCUUCUUGGAUGAGUUGAGAACGGGUGAGUAACGCGUAGGUAACCCGCCUGGUAGCGGGGGAUAACUAUUGGAAACGAUAGCUAAUACCGCAUAAAAAUUAAUUAUUGCAUGAUAAUUAAUUGAAAGAUGCAAUUGCAUCACUACCAGAUGGACCUGCGUUGUAUUAGCUAGUUGGUGAGGUAACGGCUCACCAAGGCGACGAUACAUAGCCGACCUGAGAGGGUGAUCGGCCACACUGGGACUGAGACACGGCCCAGACUCCUACGGGAGGCAGCAGUAGGGAAUCUUCGGCAAUGGGGGGAACCCUGACCGAGCAACGCCGCGUGAGUGAAGAAGGUUUUCGGAUCGUAAAGCUCUGUUGUAAGAGAAGAACGGGUGUGAGAGUGGAAAGUUCACACUGUGACGGUAUCUUACCAGAAAGGGACGGCUAACUACGUGCCAGCAGCCGCGGUAAUACGUAGGUCCCGAGCGUUGUCCGGAUUUAUUGGGCGUAAAGCGAGCGCAGGCGGUUAGAUAAGUCUGAAGUUAAAGGCUGUGGCUUAACCAUAGUAUGCUUUGGAAACUGUUUAACUUGAGUGCAGAAGGGGAGAGUGGAAUUCCAUGUGUAGCGGUGAAAUGCGUAGAUAUAUGGAGGAACACCGGUGGCGAAAGCGGCUCUCUGGUCUGUAACUGACGCUGAGGCUCGAAAGCGUGGGGAGCAAACAGG
rnacentral:rRNA from 1 species